rnacentral:rRNA from 1 species
GAGUUUGAUCAUGGCUCAGGACGAACGCUGGCGGCGUGCCUAACACAUGCAAGUCGAACGAAGCUAGAAGAGCUUGCUCUUCGAUGCUUAGUGGCGGACGGGUGAGUAACGCGUGAGUAACCUGCCUUUCAGAGGGGAAUAACGUUCUGAAAAGAACGCUAAUACCGCAUAACGUGCAGCAGUCGCAUGGCAGCAGCACCAAAGGAGCAAUCCGCUGAGAGAUGGACUCGCGUCCGAUUAGCUAGUUGGUGGGUAAAGGCCUACCAAGGCGACGAUCGGUAGCCGGACUGAGAGGUUGUAACGGCCACAUUGGGACUGAGACACGGCCCAGACUCCUACGGGAGGCAGCAGUGGGGGAUAUUGCACAAUGGAGGGAACUCUGAUGCAGCAACGCCGCGUGUGGGAAGAAGGUUUUCGGAUUGUAAACCACUGUUCUUGGUGAAGAUAAUGACGGUAGCCAAGGAGAAAGCUCCGGCUAACUACGUGCCAGCAGCGCCGUAAGACC